rnacentral:rRNA from 1 species
CAGUCGCCGCGGUAAUACGGAGGGGGCUAGCGUUGUUCGGAAUUACUGGGCGUAAAGCGCACGUAGGCGGCUUUGUAAGUUAGAGGUGAAAGCCCGGAGCUCAACUCCGGAAUUGCCUUUAAGACUGCAGAGCUAGCAGGUGAGAGAGGUGAGUGGAAUUGCGAGUGUAGAGGUGAAAUUCGUAGAUAUUCGCAGGAACACCAGUGGCGAAGGCGGCUUACUGGCUCAUUCUAGACGCUGAGGUGCGAAAGCGUGGGGAGCAAACAGGAUUAGAUACCCCGGUAGUCCCUGUCUCUUAUAC